GACGAACGCUGGCGGCGUGCUUAACACAUGCAAGUCGAACGGAAAGGCCCUGCUUUGGUGGGGUGCUCGAGUGGCGAACGGGUGAGUCACACGUGAGUAACCUGCCCUUGACUUUGGAAUAACUUCAAGAAACUGGGGCACAUAACGGAUAGGAGCUCCUGCUGCAUGGUGGGGGUUGGAAAGGUUGGGCGGUUGGGGAUGGACGCGCGGCUUAUCAGCUUGUUGGGGGGGAAGUGGCUUACCAAGGGUUUGGCGGUAAGCCGGCCUGGGGGGGGGACCGGCCCCAUGGGGAUGGGAAUACGGCCCAGCCCCCUACGGGGGGCAGCGUUGGGGAUUAUUGCACAAUGGGCGGAAGCCUGAGGCAGCACCGCCGCGGGCGGAAUGACGGCCUUCGGUUUGUAAACCGCUUUCGCAGGUGACGAAGCGUGAGUGACGGUAAUUGGUAAAGAAGCACCGGCUAACUACGUG
rnacentral:rRNA from 1 species